rnacentral:rRNA from 1 species
UGGUUUGACCUCGGAUCAGGUAGGGUUAC